UGAAGACUAAUUUAUAAAUAUAGUAGCAAGCCUGUAUAUAUCCCAAUUCUCAACAUAUUAGCCAUAAUCCAAUAUUUCAUAACACAAAAUAAUACAAUAACACAUUUAAGCAAACACAUUUGGGUAAAGCUUCCACAAAAUAUAAGUUUAAUAUCUAUCAAGAUUUCAAUCCAUAAACAAACACAAAACAUCAAAAUAUUAAAUAAUUCAACUCCAGUUAACAUCCAGCAUCAAACAUAAGACUAUACCUAAUAAAUUCAUAAUCAGACAUCAAUCACAUGCAAGAUCGAUUGGAGAGUUAUCUAACUCAGUUCGUUCUUGUGGAGAAAGUCACAACUACUCAGAGGAUGUAAAAUAAAGACUAAAAAUAGGAGCUCGCAGCAUCUCUCGAUGUUGAAGAUUUAUCAAAACCGCUAUACUAUACUCCUGUGUAACCUCCAUAGCUCCUUACUUAGCAGAAUAAGUGAUAAAUACACUCCCUGAAGGGCCAUCUAGUUGAGAAGUAAAGCAUGGUGUAGGAGUCCCCACAAAUAUACUGGAUGAAUAUGUAUGCAGCCCA
rnacentral:lncRNA from 1 species